rnacentral:misc_RNA from 1 species
GACAGAGGGGGCAAGCGUUAUUCGGAUUUACUGGGCGUAAAGGGCGCGCAGGCGGCUUGGUAAGUCUGGUGUGAAAACGCUACCGCUUAACGGAGCGAUUGCGCUGGAAACUGCCAAACUUGAGUUCGUGAGAGGUCGGUGGAAUACCUGGUGUAGCGGUGGAAUGCUUAGAUAUCAGGUAGAAUACCCGAGGCGAAGGCGACCGACUGGCACGACACUGACGCUGAGGCGCGAAAGCGUGGGGAGCGAACAGG